GAACGAGAAAGUCCCGCAAGGGAUGAGUAAAGUGGCGUACGGGUGAGUAACACGUAGCUAACCUACCCUCGAGUGGGGAAUAACCUGGGGAAACUCGGGCUAAUACCGCAUAACAUCCGGGUGGCACAAGUCGUCCGGAGCAAGGGCCCGCAAGGGUCGCUUGAGGAGGGGGCUGCGGCCGAUUAGCUAGUUGGUGGGGUAAUGGCCUACCAAGGCGAUGAUCGGUAGCCGGCCUGAGAGGGCGCACGGCCACACUGGCACUGAAACACGGGCCAGACUCCUACGGGAGGCAGCAGUGGGGAAUUUUGCACAAUGCCCGAAAGGGUGAUGCAGCAACGCCGCGUGAGGGAUGAAGGUCCUCGGAUAGUAAACCUAUUUCGACCGGGAAAAACGGGCGGGUGAAGAGCCCGCUAUGAUGGUACCGGUGGAAGAAGCCCCGGCUAACUACGUG
rnacentral:rRNA from 1 species